ensembl:lncRNA
AUUCAAUCACCAGCACUCUGCCAGUGCCAUCUGCAUUCUUUGAAUUCCCCUCAGUACAUACUCUGAAUUAACUUAAUUAUUAGGAAAUUAACUCUCAACAUUAGGAAAUCUCAUCAUCCUUCCACUCAUCCUCUACCUGACUACCAAUGAAGGCAUUAAGCACUGUUCCAUGCAUCCAGCUCCCUCCCACUGCUAAUUCCUGCUUUUGCUGAGAACUGCUCGACUAUUUUCCACCAGAGAAGGACCUCAACCUCCUCCUGCUGCCUCUUCCACUUCCAGGCUCCCAGCCACAGCUCUGCCCACAAAGCAAGCAGCAGCCAAGCAGCCUUCUGCUGACAUGGCUGGGGUUGGUACCACGCAGAUACAGCCUAAACGUUUGCACAGGUGGCUGUUGAAAUAAUGUUCAACUGCACAUUCAAUUUCAAAUGCAAUCUCCUCUCCUGUCACCUUAUCCCAAUUCAGAGGGGUAGCAGAAUUGUUCAGGAUUGAAUUAGGAGUGUGAUUCUUGCAGCAUGCAAUGUUUUACUCCAGAUGCAUGGAGAUGAUGUAAAGUCCUUCUAUACACAAGCUGAUCCCAACAAGCAGCAUGCAAGGGGUGCGUUCCUUUCUAUUGUUGAGCUUUGACAGCACAGGCUAAUGCAUGUAAUCCUUGCUGCUCUGCACACCCUGAGAGAAACAGAACUGAAACAUCCUAGCUCCAGGUGAACCAAGCUUGAUAGCAAGAUACGACUGAUGAAAAAUUGGGAGACAGCAGAUUUUUAGGACCAACACCUGGAAUCUUCCACCUCCAGCCUUUAGAGGGCUGCUUCCUCACAGUUACCAGCUUACUCACCAGUAUGAUAUUCACAUUACUAGGAGCUGAAAAAGGGUUAAGCCUCACAAAGUAGAAGAGAGGCAGUGACAGAAGCUCUCCCCAGCUGGCUCUGGCUGUCACUCUGUGCCACCACCAUUGCUUCCUGCCUCUGGGGUUCCACCUCCAGCCGGCACUGGAGGUGCUGAGUCCAUCUCACGCACUUCCUUGUAAGGAAUAAAGCAUGUCUGUGGCUUCUCCCUAUUUCCUUUCUGGUCUGAGCUAAAGGAAAAGGAACACAACUGUUCUAUGAUUAGCUUGUAAUCCCCCUUCCCCAUUCCUACACCCUCACAUUCUUCCUUAUUUUUGUCCCUCUCAGUCUUAUCCCUAACACCCAUCUGAUACCUAUAUACAACCCAGUCUCCUCGGGUCACUGCUCCUUUAUGCUUCUCAACAUCACCCUGAGACCUCAUACAUGCUCCAUAUCUCUUAGUCUUUUCUGUGCUUCCCUUAGGGCAUAUUAAUCCACAACAACAAGCAGGGUUAAACAAUAAUCACAUCAUCUAGGGUGGUUUGCCAAACAUGGAAGGGGUCAGAAACUGCAUGGCACCAAUAAUCUACAGUCCACUGAUCACUAACAAAUGAAUUAUUGUGUGCAACUAUUUUCACUUUAUCCAGAGCAGGGGGGAAAAAAAAAAAAUGUACAGAGCAGAAAAAGCCCAUUACUUCCCAUAGGAUAAAUCAGAAAUAGGUAAGAAUUUUUUAAACAUAUCUCCUUAAUAAGAAUAUAAGCAAUAAUAACAAUAGCUCUAUCUUUAAAAGCUCCAUUUCAAAACUUUUCUGAGUAGCAGACAUUCUUCUUUCCUAUCAAGAAAUGUGAACUUUAAGAACAGAGUACUUAAGUGUAAGUAGCUCCAUGCAUUCUCUAUGCACGUCAAGUCAUUCAGUGCCAAGGUGAGGCUUAAGGGUGGUGAUGAGGUGAGCUACAGAAGAGGGGAAGUGCAAGUGAAGGGACAGCAGCUGAAUCCAGGGCUCUGCAAAAGGAGGAAGGGGACAGAAUGUCAGAGAUAGAAGAGAAAGGAGACUCUUACAUCAAGUCCACAUUUCUUUUUUUGUUUCCACCCUCACCCAUUAUUUUAAGGGUCCUGAAUGAAAAAAACAGCAGAUAUUUUACUAGGUCAGAAGCAGUUACUAAGCGUUCAGUAUUCCUUUGAAAGGGGCCAACAGGUGGGCAAGUUACACCUACUGGAGCGUAUCGAUAGUAUGCAAGGAAUAUGGAUGAAUGCCACUUUUUGGCACAAAAUAACUGAGACUCACUCAGUUACUAAACCUUACUCAUGCAAGAUUGCCUUGUGAGAAUGAUUUCCUUCUGUCACUUUCCCUGUUUUUUUUUUUAUCUUUUUCAACCUUAUGUUAUCACUCUUCUUGUAGUUCAUAGGUUGCUUCAAAAGUAAUGCCUCUUAUUUCUUUCCCCAGAAACUACAACAGAUACAAAGAAUAUAGUAACAAAAUUUGAUAGAGCAUAUCCAGAGCUACAAAACACUUCCACAGUACAGUCACCACCAUCACCUACACAUUUUCACCAGCAAUGAACAAGAGUUGGCAUGCCAUGCUCAUAAAAAUCUGCACCAGCAGAAGUGACCCACUGUUUCAUAGCUGCUAUGAUGGCACUGUUGCUAGGUAAGUGUUGCCCAUGCCUCACUGUGUUUAUAUCCAGUGUUUGGUCUUCAUAAACAUCCAGCAAGCAUUGAUUAAUGUCAAUGGGUGCCACUUUUUCCUGCAUGGAGGAGUUUGAUUCCACACCUCUGCAUCAUACACAAUUCCAUGUCAGAGGCCAUUCUGUCAGACUGCUUCUCUGUCACACUGCAACAAAAUGGAACGGGAUAGUGGCAGGAAGGUUCAACCUCUGCUGCCAUAUCACCAACAUCUGCCUCUGACAUUGAGAGCCAAUAUAUUAAAAUAGGAGGUGUUACUUUCAGAGCAGCCCUUGUACCUUUCACUGAUAACCUACCCUACAUGGUUUCUACACCACUGGUCUGAUACAUGGAGUGCUUUGGCAAUUGUCCACAUUUUGUUCACAGUGUACAUAGACACACACUCAUACUUUGCAGGCAGACUCAGGAAUCAUCCCUGAGCUCAGCUGUUUACUCCUUUGUCUUGUAGUAUCAAGCAACUUUGACUUGGAUCACACAGAACUCACCUGUAUGAGACGAGAUUAUUUUGAACAAGAAGCAGUUAAGCCCUCACUGCAGCUGUACAGGAAUUUUGUUAAGCCUGUUUAAAUGAAAAGGAUCCUGUCAUUUUCCCUACCUUGAGUCUCUACAUCAUUCAUCACACAGUGAACUCUAGAUGCUGAAGACAGAUGGACCACCAGAUGGACCCUGGGAAGGAUUGGUUAAAAUGUCAGUGAUAAGCUAACAGAAUGAAAUGCAGUAGACUGAGGAGACUAUUCCGCUGAAAACCAUCUACUGAAAUGGGGUUUGUAUUAUUCACAUUCAUUAAAGCACACUUCAACUGUGCUGUUUUGACAUUUUCUGUUUCGAGACUUUCAAGUCAAGCAGCUCUGUGCUUGCUGUUUUGCUGGGGUUUUUUUUCUUUUCCAAAUGGUUGUUUGAUGAUAGAUUUUCAAAAGUGACCCUAGCUCUUUAAGGUGAUUGCUUUGCCAUUGAGGAAUCUUGCCAUUGUUAUAUUCAGCCAUCAAACUUACAAGUACACCAAUUCAGACUCUGAAGAGCAAACUGAUGUAAGGAUGAAGAUUAUAUAAGGGACAGAAGUGAGUUAUUGCUUGCUUCUGGUAAACUAGCAUAACUUGCUUUCCAAUUCUUACCGUACAUUUACCUGCAAUACUAAUUUCAACAACUUCUUUGGAUUAAGCCUUGAGAAUUUCAUUACAGACAUGGAAAGAAAUGCAUACACGUGGCAGUGUAUCAGCAGUAGGGAACAAGCUAAGACGGGUCAGAAAGACUCCAGGCAGAAGCUUUGUUGCAAAACAGAAACACAAAAUAGAGAUUUGCCUGAUUUCAUAUGGUUCAUCAUUCAGCUGCUUGAUUUCUCCACUCUUCAUUUGCUUCACAAGAAAAAAGCUGUUUCUUUCAAACUUGCAAUAUUAGUUGUGAUUCUGCACCAGUGCCACAUGGCUGGUCUACCCAUAACUUCAUAAGGGAUAUUCUGCAGUUUCAAGUACAAAUCAAUUGUCACAAGAUCAACAUCAAAAUAUCUUCUUUACUGAGUCACACUAUAAAUUCUAUCAUGAAUAUUGCCACUCAAUGAUUCAUAAAUAAAAACAAACGUUAGCAUUGAGAGGUAUUCCUCUCUUACUUGAAAGAAUUCCCA